rnacentral:lncRNA from 1 species
AACAAGGCCCCGGCUAUACCUCAAGUACAAUACAUAAGAAACAAAAGAUGCAUAACCCCGAAACGAAAUGGGGCUCGCCAAGACUGCUGGGAGGAGGAUGUACUACUUACGCUGAUCAACACUGCCUGCUAUGGAACCACCUGCAUCCAUUUAAGAGGUAGUGCCUCCGGCAAAAAGGAUAUUAGUACUGUCGAAAGGUACUAGUAUGUAUAACUAAACACCAUCUCAUUAGAUUGAACAAUAAUACAAGAGGGAAUAAUCAUGAAAUCAAUAGGAACCUUAGACAAUACAAUAACAUCAAAUUAAGAAUCAUAUAAGCUUUCAAGUAAUUUCCAUGAUUUUAGGUUGGGAGGUCUUGUGUACCAAUACACCAUUACUCACAAUACCACGACAUUCUUAACACGGAGUUCGAACACAACUCGAUCGGCUAGGUCGUCUCAUCUGAGUCAUCAACCAUAAUCACAAUUCCAUUUAUAAUUUCCAGCACAGUCACCACCAUGUGUGCAGUAUGGCAUCCGAUCACGGCCCCAUCGACUACGCCGUCUCACCCGAGACAUUACCAUUUCCUAUCAAUCAUGUCAUUUCAUACUUCUUUCACAUCUUUCAAUUCAUCUGCACUAGUGGCCAUAAUUGUUAUAUCAUACUUGGCACUUGGCUGUAUUUCAUAUUUCGUACUUAGUUUAUUCAUUCUCAAACGUUAUCAUCAUUGUCAACAACAAGCCUUUCAAUUCGAGAAAUUAAGUACACAUGUGAGCGAUUAUGAAUCUUAUGGAUGUAGAGAUUUUUACACAAUUUGGCAUAACAAUCUCUAUUCGAAUUUGACUUGAAUUCUAGGAAUUUAUUUUAUUCCAUAUUUUUAACACAUACUCAAAUAAUAAGAUGACAUGAUGAAAGCAUUAGAAUUCAAAUUGCACAUAUAGUUUUAAAAGCAAGCACGUUCGGAAUAGCAAUUUCUAUAAUGAUCAAUUUGGGACUUGCACCAGUUGAAUGAAAAUCAUGGGGUUCAUGUCACGACCCCAGUUCACCCUCCGUGAACUGUCGUGACGGCACCUAGUCUCUACGACUAGGUAAGCCUAAAAAAUGCGGAACAUAAAUGAAACUUGCGGAAGAAAUAAUCAACACCAAAAUAAUUGAAUGGAAACAAUAGUUAUAAUGUCACUCGGCAUAUACAACGCAACAUUCCCAAAACCAAGUACAUUAUCCAAAAACCCGAAAACUCACGGAAACACAAGCCUUUGGAAUAUCUAACAGUCUAACUCUAGAAUAUCUAAUAGGAAAGAAUAUAAAGAAGGGCAAUGUUUAACAGCUAGAAUAGAAAGGGACCUCUCGGUCUGUGGACGCGGCAGAUGUACCUCAAAGUCUCUAGAGCAGUCGCCUCCCUCUAAGAUGGUAGACCUGAGUAGCGGUACCUGGAUCUGCACAUGAAAAACAUGCACAGGAGAGGCAUGAGUACACCACAACGGUACUCAGUAAGUGUCAAGGCCCUACUGAGGUUAAAUAAAAUAAUAAGGUCAACAGUAUAGAACAAAACAAUAUAAAUAAGUACAACAGUGAAAUAACAUAGGAUGUACAGGACAUCAACGACCAUACAAAAACAAGGUAAACACGGAAAAGAAAUACAGCUCAGCACCAAUGAUAACGAUCGGGGAUCUCCCAGGAUACCGACCUGUAGUCCCAUAUGUACAUAUCUAAUGGAUCUCCCAGGAUCCCGUCCCGUAGUCCAACUCAUAGUGCACGAGGAUCUACCGAAAUCCCAUUCUGUGGUCCCAAAUAUAAAUACCCAGUACUAGGGGAAUCUACUGGGUGCAUUCCUGUAGUUCCAUAUAACUGUGCAGGGGGAUCUAUCGGAAUCCCACAUCCGUAGUCCCAAAAUAAACAGGCAAGGGAAAGCUACCGGAAUCCCACAUCUGUAGUCCCAAAAUGAACAGGCAAGGGGGAGCUACUGGAAUCCGACAUCAUUAGUCCCAAAAUAAAUACACAACAGCAACAGGAAAAUAUGCAGAAAUGGCAAUAUUUCAUAUUAAGGCAACAAGUGAUUCUAGCCUAGCAUGCUGCACAUAAUUCAAGUAAGACAGGUUGAACAAAUAAAGCAAUUAAGUCACUUAGACAUGCUUUCCAAAGCUAACAACGGGCUUAAUAGUGCAAGUAAUAGAAACAGGAAAGGAAACAUGCUAGUAAUUAUUUAAAUAAAACCGGAUUUCCAACAAUUAGCACAAGUACGCACUCGUCACCUCACGUACAAGGCAUUUCAAUUACCAAAUAUACCGAUCCUAAGGGAAGGUCCCCCACACAAGGUUAGACAAGCCACUUACCUCGAACCGGCUCAAAAAUCAAUCCGAAACCACGUUCUNNNNNNNNNNNNNNNNNNNNNNNNNGUAACUAAUUCUACAAUUAAAUUCUAAGCUAAUACGCAAAAUUAGGUAAAAUAACCAAAAUGCCCCUCGGGCCCACGUCUCGGAAUCGGGUAAAAUUUAUAGUUUCAUAAUUCUCAUACUCUCACGAACCAUAUCAAAAUUAUCCCAAUCCGAUGUCAACUCCCCAAUCGAAACUCAAUUUCUUGGUCUAAGAACUUUUCCCCAAUUUUAACCAAAAUUUCAAAAUUAAAGGAUGGAUUUAAGUGUAGAUUCAUGAAAAUUAGUCUAAACCGAGUAGGAAUCAUUUACCCAAAUUGCCCAGGUGAAAAUCUCUUCAAAAAUUGCAAUCUCCCGAGCUCCCAAGUCCAAAAUAUGAAUUAUGACUCAAACCCUCGAUUUUGGGUUUUAAAAAUCUGUCUAGGUAUUUCCUUCUUCGCGAACGCGGUCAAACCUCCAUGUUCGCGAAGCACAAAUUUAUGUUGACCAUUUUUCCUUCUUCGCGAAUGCGUCCCCUUCUUCGUGAACGUGAAGGCUCAGCUCCCAGCCCAUCGCGAACGCGACCCCCAUCUCGCGAACGCGUAGAUCAAGACCCCAGCCUUUCACGAACGCGGGACCUCCCUCGCGAACACGAAGGCCAAACCUUCAGCUCCACUUCCUAUCCCUUUGCGAAAGCGAUGGCCAGUCGCGAACGCGGAGAACAACUGGUCUGCAACACACCAACAGUUUUCUACAACUUCAAACAUCAAGAAAUGGUCUGGUUAACCACCUGAAACUCACCUGAGACCCCAGGACCUCAACCAAACAUAACAACAUAUCCUAUAACCUCAUUCGAACUUGUUCCAACCUUUGUAAUGCACAAAACAACAUCAAAACACCUAUUUCUCAUCGGAUUCAAGCCUAAGAAUUCCAAAAACUCUAAAAAUACGCUUUCGAUCAAAUAUUCUAUCAAACCUCGUCCGAAUGACCUGAAAUUUGCACACACGUCACAUUUAACACUACGGAGCUACUCCAACUUCCGGAAUUCCAUUCUGACCCUCGGAUCAAAAUCUCGCUAUCGAACCGGAAACUUCAAAAAUUCAACUUUCGGCAUUUCAAGCCUAAAUUAGCUACGAACCUCCAAAACACAAUCCGAACACACCCUAAGCCCAAAAUCACCCAAUGGAGCUGAUGGAACCAUCAGAUUUCCAUUCCGAGGCCGUCUUCACACUGUUCCGACUACGGUCAACUCUCUAACACUUAAGCUCUCAUUUAGGGGCUAAGUGUCCCAAAACUCUCCGAAACUCAAAAUCGAACAUCUCGGCAAAUCAAAUUAGUAGAAAUAAACUUGGGAAAAGCAAUUAAUAAGGGAUCGGGGCAUAAAUUCUUAAGACGAUCGGCCGUGUCAUCACAGUUCAAUUCUAAGAAGAGAGGGUUUUAGCCAUACAUACCUCAAUUGAGCUUCCUUAAACUCUACAAUAUUUCAGAACUCUUAAAAACUUCAAUCUAUUUUAGCAAUAUAACAAAUUGAACAAAAAAUUAGGAAAACGAUCAUGGUUCUAGCUCACUUAAGCAUUUUAACAAACACUAACUGUGUAUUAAGGUUCCAAGGUCCAUUUUAUGGAAGGCAUCAUCCAACAACCCAUUCAUCACCAUUGUUAGCUCACAAUCUCUCUACACUCUUUUAUCACACGUGCAUACGAGAUAAACAACUUUCAUACCCAUGAACCAUCUUACUAAUUACCCACUUCUAGAUAAUUUUCGAAAUUAAGGGCUAGGGUAUAGAUUCUUACCUCUUAGGAUGAAGACAAAGGGUGUUUUCCUUGAUAAUCUUCAAAGUUUAAGUAAGAAUUGAAGGGUAGUUUGAUGAAGAUCAAUAUUUCACUCUAGGGCUCUUUCUUUCACUCCAUAGUAUUAGAUUUUUCUAAAAAAUGUCCCCUUACAUAUUUUUUAACGAAGUAGGGUCGGGUUUAAAAAUUAGAAAAAUAGGAGCCCCGACACAGAUCUGUGGUCGCAUAUGCGACCGCAUAAUGCUUCUGCGGUCCGUAAAAUGGGCCGCAUAAUGGCCCUCAGGGACUAGAAUUUUCUGCUUCAUUCUACGACCGUUCUACGGUCCGCAGACCUAUUUUACGGUUGCAUAAUGCGCCACAGAACAUCCCUCCGAGAAUUUCUAUGUGGAGUAUGCGAUGGAUUGUGCGGCCUGCAAAACAAUUAUGCGACCGCAUAAUGGACCGCAUAUUGGUCCAAGAAUUAGCUUAGAUCUCUGCUUCACUCAGCGGCAUAUCUGCGGUUCGCAGAUCAGUUCUGCGGACGCAGAAUUGGCUGCACAAUAUGCCCUACACUUCAAAUAAUUUUCUUCAGCUCACCAACACACUGCUCAGCCCUAAAGUCUGUACCGCGACUCGCAAGCUUACCGUGAAGAAUCUCUACAAUCUUUAACACAUAAUCCUAACUCGGCAACAUGAGAAUCCGGGUUUUAGGUAAAAAUUUAUGGGGCCUUACAUGUGGAGACAAUUCCGGGAGAGGAAAGGGUGGACAUGGUUCACUAAAAGCAUGGUGGAUGCCAGAGAGCACCUUGUCCGGAAAUUUUACGCCAAUGUGGUACAUAUCAAGAAGGGAACCAAGGUGACAAAAGUGAGAAACUUAAAGGUAAGAUUCGAUCAGAGAAACCUGAACACAUAUUUAGGGUUUGAGGAUGUAUAUCCAGUGCAAUAUCCAGAGACGUUUGCACUGGGUGAUGUAGCUCGCCCUUGGCUAGCUGAGAUUUGGCAGCUCCAGGACCACCACUACCAUGGAUCACAGCAAGGGUUCCUAUUCAGUGGAACACCCUCAAGUUUGAAGCAAAAGGAUGGCAGACCUUUGUGUGCAGUCAAUUAGACCCGUUCCAAAAUGAAAACAAUCUCCCAAUUCUGAGAUCAGUUCUAGUUGCUUCCAUCAUGGUCGGGUACCCAAUAAAUGUGGGUGCCGUGAUGUCGGCCAACAUAUCUCUGGUUGCUAGGCAAUGUGACAGCUCCUACCCUUAUCCCAACACUAUUACGGAGUAUCUUAUGGAUGCGGAGGUGGAGUUAAAGAACUUUAACAUGAAGGUUCGGGAAAAGAAGCCCUUCACUUGGUACUCUCUGAAGGACCUGAGGAACCCGAAGAACGAGGGUCAGUCAACUACUACUAUAGGCCAGUCUGAUGAGCCUUAGUGGUAGUUACAGAUUCAGUAGCCAUGACUUCCACAGUAGUCGGGCCUUCCACUAAUAUAGCCGCCAUGCCUCCACCUCCAUCUUCAGGGCCGUUAGCAUCAGUUCCUUCCACUUCUACUUUGAGGCUGGUACAUUGCCUGCUCAUCCACUUUCUACAUUGCGAGUCUCCCAGAUACUGGCGAGCCUCAACUACUGGAUGCAGACAGCUACUGCAAAGCUGUUUGACCUAUCUAGUGUUGUUGUAGCAUAGACAUCCACCCCGGCACCCUAAAUUUCUCUGAUAGUGGAGGACAUUUUGAAGAAGACUAUGGAGACAUAAGACCAUCAUGGAUACUUUGGUGGCACAUGGACGCGCGAUUGAGGAGCUUGGGAAGCAGGUAAAGAAGAUGAGGAAAGCCCAGACAUCCAAGAAAUUAGUGGACAAAUUGAGGAGAGAGGUCACCAAGAUAGCAGCCGUUGGGAACCUUCCAUUUGAUUUGCUGAUGGAGACAGCUCCAGCAGCACCAGUAGACCCAGCAGCACCAUCAGCACCAGUGGCACCAGUUGACCAGUCUGAGGAUCUAGACCUCGAUGCUGACACUGCUGAGGCGGUGCGCCAGAUGUUAGCCCGCCCAGCUACUCCCAGAGCAGAGGAUGAUGAGAUCCAGUUGGAGGAGCUUGAGGGCGGUAAUGAUGCUAUGGACACAGAGAUGUCCAAGAUCACAUAAGGAGUCCUCUUUACUCUUUCCCUUCCUUAUUCUUAUUUUGUUAAGCAUUGGGGACAGUGCUUAUUCUUAUUCCGGGGGGGGGGGUGGAGUUUAUUUGAUUUGAUAUUUGACAUUGAUUUGUAAUAACUGAUAACAUUUUCUUUUUCGUUUCAUUAUGUACAUAUUCUUCUCCCUCUCUACUGAUGUAUAUUUUUUCUUUCUUCCUCUCUCAUUUUGUAUAUUCAUUUAUUCUUUCACUAACUUAUCUUGUAGCUUCUUUAUUUUGUUUUCUUAGUAAUCAAUUUUUAAUCUAAUAGCUUAUUGUUUACUUUAAUAGUUUCUUUUUAAUCUAGUAGUUUCUUUUCAUGUUCAAGUGAACAAUAAGCCUUUGAUUUUUUUAAUGCCACGGUUCUUUCCAAAGGUAGUUUUUGUGUGAUUGGGUGACUCUUCUCAACGAUGGAUGACGUGAUAACCUUCUUAAGGGAUUGAGUCCGUUUUUUAUGUUUAGUUAAGAAUAGUAGUAAUAAUGAAUAAAAAGACCUAAUUGAGUUAGGCUAGAAGAGUCAAACAUGCUUCACUUGGUACCAACACAUUUAACUAUGUGCUUAUGAUUAAAAACAAGUUCUUGGAAAGAAAUAUCUCUAGUUAGUGACCUUCUAACUCUUGUGUUGACUUAAGCAGUCAUCCAGUGGUUUAGCGAACCAUUAGUGAUUUUCAUUCUUAAAUAUGAUUGUUGUGGGGCCCGUACUCUAUCCUCUGUAACAAUCCAGUUGUGUGAGAGUUGAGAUAUUUUUGUUGCAAGUCCAAGUACCCGUGUGAAUGAACUAGAACUUGCCCCCAAUGUGUUUCUAGACAAAAGUUUAAGUUUUGCUUGUCUUGAGAAGUGAUUGUAGGAUCUCCUUGACCUGAUUGAAAUUUUCCAUGUCCCACCAAUGUUGUUAUCCCUAGUCAACCCUUUUGAGCCUAAAAUCUUUCUCAUUUGAUAACCAUGUUACAAGCCUUUACCCAUUUUGUAAUGACCCUCUCUUGGCAUCCAAGCUUUCCUUAACACUCUUGAGAAAAAAUUGGCUAAAACAUAAGUCUGGGGGAGAGACAAGGAGGUUGAAAGUGGUAUCAAGGCACAAAAAGAGAAAAGAAAGGCAAGGAAAAAAGAAAGAAAGAACAAACGGAAAAUGCAAAAAGAAAGCGAAUAAGUUGAAGAGUUGAAGGGAAUCAAAGAAAAGUAACGAUGCAAAGCAUGGAGAAAAUAAAGAAGGAGAAAAUGAAUAUCAUUACCAAGAAAGAGUGAUGUUAAGUCUUCCUAGUUCCCCCAAGGAAAAAAGAUGCCUCAAAGAGUCGGCAAAACAUGAGCCAAAAAGAGAAAAUGGAGUGCUUAUGGAAAGAUGAACCCGUUCUAUUCCAACAUAUCCAACCUUAGUCCAAAAGCCUUCAUUACAUUCUGAAAAAGCCCUACGUGAUUUCAAGUCGAGUGAACUUACAUUAGUGGUGAUCUACAUGAGGGGCAAGCAUAUGGUACUUAUAGCCGUAAUUGUAACAUUCUUUUGAGAGAGAUGAGCAAACUUUUCACAAAUCUUGGAAUUGAGUGAUACAUUAUUAAGUGAGAUAUGCUAACGGAGAGUAGAGGAGGAAGAGUUUGGGAUCCACAAUGACCUACAUGAAAGAGCGAGCUUCCUUGAUGAAUAAAGUCAACUCUUGAUGCUUAAGUGUCACAUUAGAACUAUUUGUGCUUAAAAAUUUAGAUCAUUGUCUUGUUGAUAAUUCAUAAGCGUUGUGGAUAAUUAUUGGUCCUAAUUGAUGUGUGAUUGAUGCAUCUUAGACUAUCUUGCAUAGCUCUUAACUUGUGGAGCUGGAAAAUACCUUAUUUGCUUGAGGACAAGCAAAAGCAUAAGUUUGGGGGAGUUGAUAAGUGAGGAUUUGACUACUUAUUAGCGCCAAUUUAGCUUUCGUUUUAUUCCAAAAGUGUUUAAUUGUAUUCCCGAAAACUGAUGAAAUAUGCUUAAUUACAGGAGUAUUGGAAAAUGAUCCAUUAAGAUGAAAUCUAACUCAAGAAGGAGUAAUCUAAACUCAAGGACAAAAUCAGGCACAAAAUCUCAAAGUGCGGACCCAAAUUUCCAUCUGCGGCCACAGAUUGUGAAGGAAAGUUUAUCAGAGGCCAAGUUCAAAGUACUGUCCGCAUAUGAAUUGUGAGCCUGCAGAAGUUAAGAAAGAUCAGAAGUUCAGAGAGUUCCCAUUUCAUGCUCAAAGGAAGUGUGCAUCGCAUAAUUAUUGUGCAGCCGCAAUAGUCAACUACAUGGCCGCACUCGGAAAUGUAUGGUCUGCAGAAGAGCCCUAUGCGGCCGCACCCAGAAAUGUGCAGACCGCAGAACAUGAGAGAUGUGGCCGCAAGAAUUUUGUGGCCGCAGAACCUCCGAAAGGGCAUUUUUGUCCGAAAAAAUCCAUCCUCGUAUAAAUAGAAUAGUUUCACGAAAUUAGGUCAAGUUUUGAAUAUUCAGAGUGUUGUAGCCGUUUCUUCUUGCUUCUUUAGGAAACUUUAGCUUAUUUUGGUGAUUUAACAUUGGAUUUUUAUAUUUUAAUCUUUCAAUAUGAGUUUAAUUAUGUUUUCAUCUUUGUUUUCUUUUAUACUCACUAUGAGUAGCUAGAUUUUUACUUAGGUUGUGACCCAAUCCUAUCACACCUCCUUUUUACCCAAAAGGGGGUAUAAGUGAGUUUUUCCAAUUUAAGUGACAUUUUUCGAAAUGGCAUUUUUUAUUUAUUUUCAAAGUCUCCACUUGGGACAUUUAUGGCGUCCCAAGUCACCGAUUUAUUUUGAAUCCCAAAUCGAGAAAAUUGACUCUUAUAUAUGGUCCACGAAUACAGUAGACCGGGUAAGGAAUUCUGUUAACCCGGGAGAAGGUGUGAGGCACUCCCGAGUUUCGUGGUUUUAGCACGGUCGCUCAACUAUUAUUAAUUGGCUUAAGUAUCUGAUUUACUACAUAUUUAAAACCUAUUGUGCAUGUUUUAACUUUUAAUAGCUUUUAGUAUUUAUGGAGUUAUUUCUGGAACAAAUCACGAUUGUCGUACACUUGUCGUUUUGGUAUACAUCGCGAAUUGCGUCACAUGAAAUGCACCCGCGACUUACAACAUGUUAAUUUUAUUAUUAUUCUGUAACGAUCCGGCCGGUCAUUUUGAGCAUUUGCAUUUUGCUCAUCGGUUCUCGGGCAUGACUAGCCUUGUAUAAUAUAUUAUGACUUAUGUAAAUCAUCGGUUUUGAUUUUUAGGUGGAACAAAACAUAUAUGGAAGAAUGGUUCUCAGCUUAAGGCUUAAAAUUUGAGAGGAUAGACCAAGUCUUUGACUUUUAGUAUUCGAUCUUGGAUUUGAAUUUUUAUGAUUGGAUUAGCUCCGUUGGAUGAUUUCGGACUUAGGAGCGUGUUCAGAACGUAAUUUGGAGGCCCGUGGUAGAUUUAGGCUUGAAUUGGCAAAAUUGGAAUUUUUGCGCUUUCCAGUUGGUAGUGGAAAUCUUGAUAUCGGGGUCAGAAUCGAAUUUCAGAAAUUUGAGUAGGUCUAUAGUGUCAUUUGUGAUGUGUGUGCAAAAUUUCAGGUCAUUUGGAUUUGAAUUGAUAGGUUUCGAUAUCGUUUGGGGAAUUUGAAAGUUCAUAAGUUCUUAAGCUUGAAUCCGAAGUUGAUUUUGUAUUUUUGUGUUGUUUUUAGUGAUUCGAAGGCUCGACUAUGUUUUAAUGAUGUUAUGGGAGGUGUUGGUAUGUUUGGCUUGAGGUCCCGAGGGCCUCGAGUGAGUUUUGAGAGUUCGGGCAUUAUCGGGACUCAGGCAUUGGUUCUGGUUCUUAAAUUUACAGCUAGGGUGGAAGGUUUACCGCUGGGGGUGGUGGUUUUACUUUUGGGGCGGAAAAUGGUCCGCGAUCCGCCAUAAGGGGCCCCUUUCGGAGUUUGUACAUUCCUAGUGAGCGCGGGUACCUAGUGUGAGUGAUAUGUUGUAACUUGAGGGGCUGUUGUUGUUUCAUAUUGAAGCUCGAGGGGCUCUUGUUGAUCCAUGUUUUCUCAAGGGGAGGUUCUUGAUUCAUGUUAUGCCCGAGGGGCUAAUUACGAGUGAUAGUGAGGUAGCCCGAGGGGCUGGUUCUAUUGAUAUUAUGCCCGAAGGGCGGUUCAUGGUACAUGUUUUGUCUGAGAGGCCAUUUAUGUUUUCCUUCAUUUUUACUCACUAUUUUAUCACUCAUUUAAAACUAUUGAAAGUUGUUUUAAAAGGUUUUACCGAAAUUGAGCUUGAUUUACGAAGUAAAUGAUUUUUUUACUAUUUUGGAAAGGUAUUGUAUUUGCUAUAGUGUUAUGACGUGGCUUACGUGUUUUCUUACUGCUCAGCUUUCAUUUACUUUUAUUACUUACUGAGUUGGCAUACUCACAUUACUCGCUGCACCUUGUGUGCAGAUUCAGGUAUUUUUGAACCCGGUAGCGGGUGUUGAUUGCUCAGUGGCAGAGUCAUUGGAGUUAGCAAGGUAGCUGCUGGAUGUUCGCAACCCUGUUUUUCUCCUCUUGUAUCCCUUAGGUUGUUUUUAGUAUAUUUUCAGACCUUAAUAGAUGCUCGUGACCUGUGACACCCCGAUGUCGGGCUUGUGUAUUUAUUACUAUUCAUUUAGACUUACAUUAUGAGAUAUCUGAUUGAUUAAAGGCUUAAAAUGAUUGUUAUUGAUUAAAUGGUUAAUUUGGGAGUUGUGUUGGCUGGCCUAGUUUCACGAUAGGCACCAUCACAACCGAGUAAUUUUUAGGGUCGUGACAAGUUUGUAUCAGAGCCUAGGUUACAUAGGUCUCCUGAGUCAUGAGCAGGUUUAGUAGAGUCUCGCGGAUCGGUAUGAAGACGAUUGUACUUAUCCUCGGGAGGCUGCAGAACCUUUAGGAAAAACUUCACAUUCUUGAAUUCUUAUCGUGCAUCCUUGAUUCAGCUUGAAAUGUAACUCCUUUAAUUCCUUCCACGCCUUCGUAUGCGCGCAUGAACGCUCAGUAUCAGAUGUGCAUCGAUGUCUUGUGAUUCCUUGAUCAUGGGGCGAGAUGUGAUCUCUGUGUGUUGAUAUUGGGCCAGUCUCGAGGACUUGAGACUGGGUUUUACCUGUAGCUUGAGCACUAAGGUGCUGAUUGUGUGAGCACAUGCUUUUUGAAUUUAUGUGUUCGAUAGUGUCCCUAUUAGUGGAAGUGAUGGCUGGAUGACUAUGUGAUGAGUAUGAUGUGACUGUGAGGUGUGUUUAUAUGAUUUGAAUGAGGCGAGAAGGGUCUACUUGGGGGCAUAAAGAACUAUUUGGUGCUUGAUUUCCAUCUUGAUUUGAUGUAUAGCCCCGAGUUAUCGGAGUGUGAAGAAUCAUUUCAUGUUUUCUAGUUGGGGAGUGGAGUAGAUUUCGUGUUACGAUAUGAGUUCAGACUCAAGAAGCUUAAGCGACUGCGUAAUGUUUAUGACGAUGGAAGGGGUAUGAAGAGCUAUUAGUUUGAGGCAAAGCAGGUGGGUUAUCUCCUGUAGAGUGUUCUGAAGUUUGUGUGAUCAUUAUGUUAUUUGUUGGAAGAUCUCUUUUACCAGUGGAAUAGAUGUGUUGCAAUUUGAAUUUGGGUCGCUUAAGAGAGUAGGCUUGACUGUUACGAGGGUGAAUGCGAGAUUUGCAGAAGAUUUGAAGUACUAGAUGGUCUGUGUUGCACGAACUUAUGAAUGAUUGAGUUUAAUAUCACUAUGGUAUUAUGGUAGUAAUAGAGUAUAUGCAUUAUGAGUUAUUGUGUGUUUUAAUCUAUGGCUUUGAGCCAAGUGGGGGGGUCUGCUAUUGAUUAGUUGAUUGCACGAUUUUGUGCUAUGUUAGUUCCAGUUUGAGGCAUACUGGUGAAUCAGUUAUGGCUUACGGAGGUUGAGACCGAGGAUGGCUCAAGUAAAGCAAAUUUUAAUAAAGGUUAUGUUAUGCUUUAUGGGUGUAUGAGAAUCAUGGAAUGACUUGAGUUGUUAUUAGUAAAGGAUGUACGGUGCAUAGAACAGGAAGUUGCUUGGUUGCGUUAAGGAGAGGUUACAUUAUGUGGUGUCAGAGUACUAAUGGAGCAUAGGUUGUUUGGUCUGUUUGAUCGGUCUAAUUGCGGUUUGAGUAGAGUGGGUGACUCUCAAGAAUGGUUCUAAUGGGUUCAAGAUUUUACAUGCAGUAAUUGGAUAUUUUUAGGUUGUAUAUUUGGCUGGAAACCGGGGUCUACAUUGGAGGGUGUCAAGACUUGCAGCAUUUCUAUAUCAAUUCUGGUAUUCUAUGUAUCAGUAUCAGGAAGGUGAAAGUAAUGUCUUUGGAUUCGCAGGAAGUCUCUUCAGGGUAGGUAAUUUGAAUGUGGUGCUUUUGGAAAUGUUUAAGAGAGUAUUCAGUGGCUUAUGAGCCUUAAAUGGUGUUGUUUUAAGUUUGGGUCUCGUGUGGUGAGUCUGGGUUGAGGAAUUGCGGCAUUAUGGCAAGGAGAAGUAUCAAUUUGAAGGUAAUUUAGAAGGAACUUGGAUAAAUAGGACAUUGGUAGUAGGUCGGAUCGGCAUGGUAAGGGUUAUGAUUAGUUCUUUAGGUGCUUAUGAGGUAAUGAGUUUCUACAGGUGUUUCGCGGCAAUGCUGUUAGGAUUUAGUGGCCUGCGUAGCUUGGUUGAGUUAGAAGGAUUCAGUCCUGACGGUUUAGUUUUGUGCAAAUGGAAUUCGGAGAGCUCUUGAUGGUUUCUACCAUGGUGAGAGAUUUAUAUUUGCUACAAGCGUGAGGAGCAUGAUAUGUAUAGCGAUUUUCUUAUAGAAGGGAUCAAUGGAAAGUUCUUAGCUAGUUGGGUACGUAGUUGCUUGUGGCUCGGAAGGGGUUAUGAAGUUCUUAUAUUUAUCAUAGGACGGUUGAAAUUUGCAUGUGUAAGGUCACAGUUCAGUUCUGAAAGGAAGGUUCAUAAAUUCUUAGAUAGCAUGGGCAGUUUCAGAUGAUUAGGCAAAUGAUAUUGCUAAAUGGUGUGGCCUGAUAAGGGCAUACGUUUCAGAAAGGGAAAUGUGAUUGAGUUAAUAAUAUAUCAUUGGUAUCGUGGCUCUCUCUUGGUGGAUCGACUACUGAUAUUCGGGUUUUCUUGGUGGCACAAAAGAAUUUUUGGAGUAUCUCGUGGAAUGAUUAGGUAUUAGAGGUAUGAUAUGUAUUCAGACGACGGAAUUUGGUUUGGAUAUGGCGAUUCGAGUGCUUUAUGGACUUGGAGACCAGGAGUUCUCAUAGACAAGUUAUGUUAUGGUUGUGGGUCACGCGUAUCAGCCUAGUGUGGUGACUAUUGUGGGUUUGGAAACCCGAGUGGAUCCUUUGUUGCUUGGUAUGUUAGAUUUUGGAUGUGAUAUUGGGUAUAGACUGGUUGUCUCGGUAUUAUGUUAUUCUGGGCUGUUGCGCUAGGGCAGCGGCAUUAGCUAUGCCAGGAAUGCCACAGAUUGGGUGGCGAGGUUCGAUGAAUUAUGUUUUCAGUAGGGUGGUUUCAUUUUUGAAGACCCAACAGAUGGCUGGGAAGGGUUGUCUUUCUUAUUUGGCCUUCGUGAGGGAUGUCAGUACAGAGACUCCUACCAUUGAUUCAGUUCCCGUGAUGAGGGAUUUUUCCGGAUGUAUUUCCUAUUGUCGGGCAUGUCGUCGGACAAGGUUGUUGAUUUCGGUAUUGAUUUGGUGUCGGGCACCGUAUUGUAUGGCAUCGGCGGAGUUAAAGGAGUUGAAGGAGCAGCUUCAGGAACUCGUCAAUAAGGGGUUCAUUAGUAGACCAAUAUGGAUGUGUGUUCUACAUCGAGUCGGCUUGGGUGACUUCGAGUUGUAUUGUUGAGGGAUAUGUUGAUUCGAUUGUUAUUGAGCUUGUUAGUGAUUUGGGGAGAUCUAUGAGUUACCUUUCCGUGUUGCGAGGUGUUAGGAUUUGUUGGUUAUAAGCACAUGUGGUGCGGUUUUAUUGAGGUCUCUCAAUGGAAUUUGAGCAGAAAGAGUAUUGGGUAUUGCUCGGCGGAUGGCGUAUCAGUUGUGUCCUUUCGGGUUUGUGUAAUGUUAUGUUAGUUACUUUUCCAUGGUUAUGAUGAUCUGCUUUGGUUCUAGACAUCAAAUUACGCAUGGUUGUCGAUUUCGAGCAUAGUGACUUAAGGUAUCUCAUGUGGAACGGUGUUUGGAUAGGGUCGCACAUUGCAGUGAAGUUAUAUGGAGGUAUGACCCUUCGGGUUAGAUUCGUCUGUUCUAUUUCUACGAUGUGUGACGGGUUCUCAGCAUUAUGUGUGGUGAUACUGGUGAGCUUGUGGUACAGAUCUCUCAUUAGAGUCAUUUUUCAUGGUUUGAGUAUGUUCGGAUCGUUGCUUAUUGGUGUGCGGAUUGUACGAGUUGUGGCUCUAGAUUGUAUAGAUGUGUCAUGUCACCAAAGUAGUUGUGUUGGAUUAGAUGAGAUCGUUGGGAUCUAGAAUGAAUACAAACAUAUUUGGUCUCAGCGUGUUGGAAGGAUAAUAUUGAUGUUCGGCUUAGAUAUUUGCUAUGGUCCUUGCCAAAGGAGAAGUGGCUUCACGGAUUGUUGAUCUGAGGAAUGGUUAUGACUUUCUAUGUGUUUCAUUUAUCAUUGGCAGUAUACGGAAGUGUUGGAAUGAGGCUAUAUUUGAUAAGAGGUUUAUUAUUGAUAUUCUGUUGUUCUGAGCAACUGCUGUGAACAGAAGUUAUCUCUACGAGAGUUAGAGUUAUGUGGUAUAUCAUGUAAUUGCAUCUCAGGUUGUUGGUAUGGCUUGUUACAGCUUGUUCGGGCUUAUUCAAAGUAUAGAUGUGAAAUUAUGAUCUUGUAGAUGAUUUCAGAAGUGGAAAUGUGGUUCUAAGGUUUAUAGGCUAGGUUGGAUUGUGAAAUUUCAGUUGCAUUGUGUUAUCGCACCUAUAUGAGAUAGAGUGACGUGGGAUCACCCCCGGGUAUGUGCAUGGUAAGGUUACACAGCGAUUUGAUGGUUUUCGGAACAACUUUGAACACGUUCGAGGAUGAACGUAUGUUUAAGUGGGGGAGGAUGUAACGACCCAACCAGUCAUUUUGAGCAGUUGCAUUUCGCUCGUCGGUUCUCGGGCAUGACUAGCCUUGUAUGAUGUAUUAUGACUUAUGUAAAUCGUCGGUUUUGAUUUUCAAGUGGAACAGAAAAGAUAUGGAAGAAUGGUUCUCAGCUUAAGGCUUAAAUUUGAUAGGUUUGACCAAGUCUUUCACUUAGAGUACUCAAUCUCGGAUUUGAAUUUUUAUGAUUGGAUUAGCUUCGUUGGGUGAUUUAGGACAUAGGAGCGUGUUCGGAACGUAAUUUGGAGGCACGUGGUAGAUUUAGGCUGAAUUGGCAAAAUUGGAAUUCUGGCGCUUUCCGGUUGGUAGUGGAAAUCUUGAUAUCGGGGUCGGAAUGGAAUUCCGGAAAUUUGACUAGGUCCAUAGUGUCAUUUGUGGCGUGUGAGCAAAAUUUCAGGUCAUUCGGAGUUAAAUUGAUAGGUUUCGGCAUCGUUUAUAAAAUUUGAAAGUUCGUAAGUUCUUAAGCUUGAAUCCGAAGUUGAUUUGGUAUUUUAGUGUUGUUUUGAGUGAUUUGAAGGCUUGACUAAGUUUUAAUGAUGUUAUGGGAGAUGUUGGUAUGUUUGGGUUGAGGUCCCGAGGGCCUCGGGUGUGUUUCGGGUGAGUUUUGAGCGAGUCCGGGCAUUACCGGACUUAGGCAUUGGUUCUGGUGCUUAAAUUUAUAGCGGGGUGGAAGUUUAACUGCUGGGGGUGGUGGUUUUGCCGCUGGGGCGGAAAAUGGUCCGCGGUCCGCGGUGAGGAAGAAUCUGCAGGUUCACUGGUCUAACUUCGGAAGCCUAUAUCUUUUGAUCUACAAGGAAUUUUGAGAUAAUUCAAAAAUAAAAGUUGUAUACCUUCGUGUCUAGUUUUCAGAAAGCUAAAGAUAUCACAAUUUGGACAUCUGUAGAGAAGGUUAUGGCCAAAAUACUAAAGCAUAUUACUGCAAUCAACAUUUUCCGUUGUAGCAGUGGAUUUAACGCGGUCAGCGGUGAUGGACCGCGGUCAGUGGUGGUUUUACCUCGGUCAGCAGUGAUGGGGAUCUGAAAGGUGCACUAUAAAUAUGAGAUUUGGGGUUUUAUUUUAUAUUUUGACCUACAAAGCUCGGGCUUUGGUGAUUUUUCGAGGGAGUUUCAAGAAAACCAUUGAGGUAAGUGAUUCUAACUCAAUUUUUGCUAAAAUACAUUAUUAUAACAUUGGAUUCAUCAUUUGAGUAGAGAUUUGGGAUAUAAAUUUGGGGGAAAUUGUGGAACUUCAUAAAAAGAAUUUUCUGGAUUUGAAAGCCGAUUCGAAUUCGGAAUUGAGUGAAACUAGUAUGGAUAGCCUCGUAAUUGAAUGGGUUGUCGAAUUUUAAAACUUUAGUCGGAUUUCGAGACGUGGGCCUGGGGGCGGGGUUUGAGCAAUUUCGGGAUUCUUGAGUUAAUUUGAUUACUUUUGCCUGGGCUUUGUUCCUUUAGCGUAUAUUGAUGACAAUAUACUGAUUUUUGUUAGAUUUGGAGCAUUUGGAGGCCAAUUCGAGAGGCAAAGGCAUCGCAGGCUAGAGUUUGGACCGGUAUGAGGUAAGUAAUGAUUGUAAAUAUUGUCCUGAGGGUAUGAAACCCUGGAUUUCACAUCGUUAUGCUACUUUGAGGUGACACACACGUUAGAUGAUGAGCGUGGGGUGAUGCACCGUUGGGGAUUGUGACCUUGUCCGUCUUGUAUGACUGUUAAGUCACGCAUUUGAUUAAAACUUGUUCGAUAUCAUUGUGUUUUGGAAAGCAUUAUCAUGUUUUGGGCUGAAUUCCAUAUUUGGGCCUCGUGCCAACUGUUUUGGACCCUUAAGGGAUUUUUACUACUAUUCCUUAUUGUUUUGACUUCAUAUCUAUACUCAGUCAUGUUGUAUUCUAUUGCUUCCAUAGCUCAGCCAUAUUUACUCCGUUUUGAUAUUUUUAAAUAAUAAUUUGGGCUGAGCAUCAUGUUUUACAGUUUCCUGAGUGGCUUGAGAGAUUUCUAACUGAGUGAGGCCGAGGGCCUGUGUUGUGAGGAUAUUAUGGGAUCGGGCUGCGCGCCGCAGUAGUGUGGUACUAAGUUAUGAUUAUGAGGCCGAGGGCCUAAUUUGUUACGCCACGAGGUAUCUUUAUAUAAGGCCAAGAUCCUAUUUGAUUAUGCCACGAGAUGGCUUAUUAUUGUGCUUGGGUCGUAAAGGGCCCCUCUUGGAGUCUGUACACCCCCAGUGAGCGCGGGUACCCGGUAUGAGUGAUAUGUUGUAGCCCGAGGGGUUGUUGUUGUUUCAUAUUGAAGCCCAAGGGACUAUUCUUGAUCCAUGUUUGCCCGAUGAGCAGUUCUUGAUUCAUGUUAUGCCCGAGGGGCUGAUUACGAGUGAUUGUGAGGUAGCCCGAGGGGCUGGUUCUGUUGAUAUUAUGCCCGAGAGGCAUUUCAUGGUACAUGUUUUGUCCGAGAGGAUGUUUAUGUUUUCCAUCAUUUUUACUCACUGUUUUAUCACUCAAUUGAAACUAUUGAAAGUUGUUUUAAAAGGUUUUACCGAAACUGAGCUUGAUUUACGAAGUAAAGGAGUUCUGUACUGUUUUGGAAAGGUAUUGCAUUUGUUGUAGCGUUAUGACGUGGCUUACGUGUUUUCUUACUGCUCAUCUUUCAUUUACUUUAAUUACUUACUGAGUUGGCGUACUCACAUUACUCCAUGCACCUUGUAUGCAGAUUCAAGUAUUUUUGAACCCGAUAGCGGUUGUUGAUUGCUCAGUGGCAGAGUCAUUUGAGUUAGCAAGGUUGCUGCCCGAUGUUCGCAACCCUGUUUUUCUCCUCUUGUAUCCCUUAGGUUGUUUUUAGUAUAUUUUCAGACCUUAGUAGAUACUCGUGACUUGAGACACUCCGAUGUCAGGCUUAUGUAUUUAUUCUACACUAUUCAUUUAGACUUACAUUAUGAGAUAUCUGAUUGAUUAAAGGCUUAAAAAUGAUUGUUAUUGAUUAAAUUGUUAAUUUGGGAGUUGUGUCGGCUGGCCUAGUUUCACGAUAGGCGCCAUCACGACCGGGUCAGUUUUAGGGUCGUGACAUAUUCGAAGUUAUGGUUGGGUCACAUGAAUUGCACACCCGAAUUGGGAGAUUACAUAUCGUGACUAUGCCACGGGAACCGUACCCAUAGUCAUGAUAAUUUAUUAAUCGCGCCUAAAGCAAGCUACGAUGUGCAUAAGUUGAUUUUUUUAUAGUAAAGACUAAAUUUAAUCUGAUUGUUGAUGAUGGCUAUUGAAAUCACACUAGUAAGAUCAUUGCAUGAUCAAUUCAUUGUUUGGAAGAGACAAAGUUAACAAUUGCCUAAGGCUUAACUAGAGUUCGACAUUCACAUUCCAAUUACCGAAUGUGGUUCAAGAUUUGCACCAGAAAAAUUAAGGUAAAAUCUUGAUCACAAUAGCAAUACAGGAUUUCACAUACAAUAACAUCUGUUAUUUUUACAAAGGGGACAAGAAUAGAAAUAUGAAUGCACUUAAACAGAAACAACAAAAGCCAAAGUUGCCAACUUUAACGAAAGACAAAUUGGGAUUGACAUUAGCGCUGAAAUAAUUAAAAAGACAAUGAGUUGUCAUACUGGUAGUAUCCCAAAGACCCAAAUUCACAAUCUUCUGAUCUUAAUAAGCAGACAUGGUUAUUUUCCUUAUAGAUUCUAAUAUUUUACCUCAAAUUUAGCACAUGAAACAAUACCUACUACACAUGAUUUCACUUUCAGAAAAAUGGAAACACACAUCUAUCUCAGAUGUUCAACAAUCAAACCAACUAGUUGCUGUUAGGUAAAUUUCCUUUAUCCUUUUAGAUGUGAACAAAAGGAGGAAAAAUUUAGAGUUAUAUGAAGGUAUUAUUUAAUUUAUUGUAUUGAUAAGGUCCUAUAUCACUUCAAUCAGCUGAACUAAAAUAAAAAUCGACAAAUCCAUACUGUGAACGAACAGAAAACAUCAAAGAACAAUUCCACCAUAUAUACACAAACAAAUUUCAGCAAAUUUAUAGUACAUGAAUGUCCGAAUAACCAUUACAUUUCGAGAUUGAGAUAAAUACCUCUAAACAGCAGUAGAGAUAAACUUGAAUAACCAAAUAAAGUCGAAGGAAAAGCUGGAGCUCAGCGAAAGUAGAAACAGCAAAACACAUCUUCAGCUUCUAAAAUCAAAAUCAAAACUCGAACACCCAAAAUUGGAGAGAUAAAGCAACGAAAAGCAGCAAAGCCUUUGAAACUCCCUGUUCCCCCGAUUUUCUUCUAGUUUUGAAACCUCUUUUAUUAUUUUCAGCUUUCAAAAUCUUUCAAAACUUCCAAUUUCUUUUUGUUUUAUUUGUUUGUUGAUAAAUGCUUUUGUUUGUGUGUGUGUAAUUUUUGUAUAUGCAGGGAAGUGAAAUGGAUGGUUGACUGAGAAGUCGAUGUACUAGGAGCUACGACUGGGGAUUUUUGUUUUUAGGGAGGGGUAGGCCUACACGUCAUUUCUGAUCAGAAAGAGAGAGGGGAAUCCAGGCGCUGGUCCUCUUUUUGUU